GGAUUAGAUACCCUGGUAGUCCUAGCCGUAAACGAUGUGCACUAGGUUGAGGGCGUACUCUGCGUUCUUGGCCGGAGCUAAUGUAUUAAGUGCACCGCCUGGGGAGUACAGUCGCAAGGCCGAAACUCAAAGGAAUUGACGGGGGCUCAUACAAACGGUGGAGCAUGUUGUUUAAUUCGAAGCAACGCGCAGAACCUUACCCAGACUUGACAUGCUAGUGGUACGGAACCGAAAGGUCGAGGACCCUUCACGGGGAGCUAGUACAGGUGUUGCAUGGCUGUCGUCAGCUCGUGCUG
rnacentral:rRNA from 1 species